CCCUUAGAUGUCCGGGGCUGCACGCGCGCUACACUGAAGGAAUCAGCGUGCUAAAACCAUUGUCGAAAGGCAUUGGUAAACCCAUUAAAAUCCUACGUGAUUGGGAUCGGGAAUUGCAAUUAUUUCCCUUGAACGAGGAAUUCCCAGUAAGUGUGGGUCAUAAGCUCGCGUUGAUUACGUCCCUGCCCUUUGUACACACCGCCCGUCGCUGCCCGGGACUGAGCCGUUUCGAGAAAAGCGGGGACUGCUGCUGUCGGGGCUUUCGGGCCUUGGCUUCGGUGGAAACCGCUUUAAUCGCAGUGGCUUGAACCGGGCAAAAGUCGUAACAA
rnacentral:rRNA from 1 species